CUAAAUUAAAAAAAUAUAUAUAGACAGAAGUUAGAAGACGCAGCCUCCCUCGAAGUCUUCAUCCUCCUUGAAAAUUGAAAAGCGUGUGAUUUUUCUCUGAAACUAUGAUUGCAAUGGAGUCUUAUGGUUAUGGUGAAAUCGAGGGGUUAUUUACUGAUGUUUCCAUUCUCCAAAAUUGGGUAUAACAUUGGAAAUUGAACUUUGGACUUUUGUUCAAAAGCUUGGAGAUGCUGUUUUUAUACCUGCUGGUUGCCCCCAUCAGUUUAGAAAUUGAAGGUUUGUCAACUUAUCUUGUUGGGUUGUAGCACAACAGUAGCUCAGUGGCCAGCAACAUCAGCAGCGCUUCAGCAACAGUAGAUUUUUUUCUGUUUACUUUACUUUGUAUGUUGAUAAACUAGGCCCUCAAAAUUGAUGUCGUUUAAGGCCACCAAAAAGCUUGAGUCGGCACUGCCUAGCUGCCAUACAACACAAAACACUCGUAGUUAGAUAAUCUUUUGUGUAUGUUGUACUUGCUACCGGAAUACU